GGCUUCUUGUAUGAUGAAAGCAGAAAUUCACCUUCAGAGUUUGUCCCUGAGGGAAACGCAACGGGACUUCAGCAGCUGGAUUUCAGCGCGCUGCUGCUGUUCGCUCGCGUUUCCCGUUGGAUUUGAUGAGGUCCAAGAGGGCCCAAAGCUCUGCGCUAAAGCCAGCAGAUAAAGCACUUAAGAUGCAGCACUUCUCCUUCAAGAUUUAAGAUACCGUUCUUCUGGAGGAAAACACUGAAAGCAGUCCUAGAUGCACAUUUUGUUUUAAUCUCCUUUUUCCAAAACGGUGUGGGAGAAACUUUUCUUAGUGGCUAUGAUACAGUUGUUGGGGUGCACCCGUUGAAUGCAAGUUUCAAGGGCAGCUACCAGGCCUGAGGACUUCGGAACUUGUUCUUCUAAAUCUUCCUUCUCUGUGAUUUUGAAGAAUCAUAAAAUAGCAUCAAUAAAUUCAUAUUCUACUUAGAAAAUGGAUUAAAGUCACCUACGUAACUUGGUUGAAAGGUAAAUAAUUUUAUCCUACAUAAUGCACAAACAAUACAAAAGCUUUGAAGUAUUUCCUUUUUCUUUUUUCCUAAAGUAUCCACGUAAGAACAUUCCUAGGGAAUAUCAAAGAACGUUUUCUUACAACAACUUGUGUCUUGCAAUUAUUUUCUUAAUUUUUCUUUACUUUACUACCAAUCACAUUACUCUGGAUGUUCCUAGGGUGACAAAAUGCUUUCAACCAUCUGAGCAUAUAGAAGUUGAAAAGAUCCCAAGAGUUACUACCUUGGUUGUGAUAGGAAGUUUAUGAAGGCGAGCAGUUUUCUUGAAGUUGAACCCUUUUGUAGCUUACUCCUUACUGCAAGUACAUGGGAAGCUUCAAAGUGUACAAAACCAGCAUGAGAGUCUUAAAAAAAAAUUAAAAAAAAAUAAGUAGACCCUCACUGAAGUCAUUAAUUUUUUUCAACUCAAACAAAACAAGAAGUUUAUUUAAAAGCUUGUGGUUUCUAAACCAGGGUAGGUGAACUUUCCCUUUCAGUGGAAAAGGAUUCUGUAAAACCAUGGAAGCUGAAGUAUACGCAGGAGCUUGUGACUCGGUACCAUAGGGCUGUCAAGAGUUAAAAAAAGAAUCCCAGAUUGUUCAAUUGAACUCUUUCAUGUCUUAUUCUGUGUAAAUGUUAUGAGUCACCUUCACUUUAGCAAGUAAGUCAGCAUUUCUGGCCCUCACUGAAGCAAAGAGUUUCUCAGUCUGUAAGCAGAUACAUUCAUUCCAGUGAUGCUAGAUGUAGAUGGGCACUAUUGUACACAGCACAGUGUUAUGAAGCAUUUAGUUCCUUGAUUGCCUCGUGGCCCUUCCUGAUCAGCAUAAUUUUUAUUCUAGAUAGAUUUCAGUCCAAAUACCUGAUUGCCUUGAAUAUCUUGGAGUAAGUUCAUAAGUCUAUAGUCAGAAUCUACAGAGUACACUUUGAUUUUGAACUUAGAUCCAUAUCAAACUCAGGUUUAGCUACCUUGAGGAUAUGAUUUUGGGGAGAAGAGCGGGUAUGCAGGCAAGAAAAUUGAUGAAAACAGGAAAAAUACUUAUUUUUAAAACAGCAAAUGCUCUAGAGACGAGAGGCCACACAUGUUUGAAAGGGAAAACCAAUUAUUCAGUUAUAUUCUCACCUGUAACUUGAUGACCUUCUUAUGUAAAAAUACCAUCUGACAAUUACCUCUGUAAAGACUGAGGAACUGGUGAAUGCCUAUCCCGUACCUCUGAGAGCAAACGAGGAAAGUCCAAAUGGGGAAAAAAAGUCCUGGGACUGACUGAAAAAAAUGUUUUACGUUCUCACAAAUUUAGAUUAGAAGCCUGAUGUUCAGGCUAAAUGGCACCAGAAUAGCCUCUGAAUUGUACGCUUAAUAUCAGCACAAAGGAAUUUUCACAUACAGGCUCUAAAUCAGGUAUCAGUGUCAAUGAGAAAGGUGCUCAAAAGGAUCCAUACGAAGCCAAGUGAUGCUCUGAGGUCAAAAGAACUCAUCUGCUGUGUUAGGUAAGUUCCCAGUAAUAAGAGGGAACAAGGCAAUAGUUAUUUUUUACUGAACUGUAGCAAGAAACACUGUAAGAAAUGACCAUGUAAGCACUCAUGAAGUGCUUGAAUGAGAAGACCUUGGAUAAAGGACAGACAGUAAUAAUGAGCAUGUAAAUAACCUCAAGUUGUAAUGAGUGAGUAUUGGAAAGGGGUUUCCUAAUUUGAAAAGCCACAUGGCUAUGCAUGUAUUUCUGUAUAUAUUUAAGCAUGUUGAAAACAUAAAACAAAAAAGAAACUUCCCCCAAAGCCAGAGAGCCUAAGGCCAUAUAUGCAGCAGCAACAAGUUUUGCUCCAGGACAGGUCCACCUCUAUUGGCUCACAACACAGACCCUUUCUCUUUGUUUUUCAGACCUUGCCCUUUCAGUUUCGAGGCCAAAUAGCGUAGCACGCUAACAUCACAGAACUAAAUUUUCUUCUUCCUCCAAUAAAGCGUGAUGAUACCAAAACGUCUAUGGGGAACAGUCAAUAUUUCAUGUUUUCCUCCAAGCCACGUCCAGAUAGCUUUUAAGAGAGCCCUAAAAGUCAUAGUGCCAAAACUGCCAGGCAACAUGCUCACAAUUCAGCUGUGAGAGCUCUGCACAGCAAUGCCUGAGCAUUGGCCUCUUCAGUUUACCAGUUGUACAGCAAAAGGCAAUAACAGUGGCUUCUAAAGGGAUACAAGCACUAUAGGGCAACAGGAGGUAACAAAGCAGAAAAAUUGGCUCACUCCUCCAACAACCAGUAACAGCUCAAGAAGAACACUAUCUCUCUUAAAGGUAUGUUGUUCCCUUGGCUGCUAACCCUUAAAUGAGGGAGAGGAGGGGCAGACCCAAAGUCCACCCCUUUCCGUCACUCAGGUGCAUUGUUUGCUCCUGAGCUCCCUGGGUUAGCCACACCUCACCUGGUGCUCAACCAUUGGUACAGGCUGCGACCUGGCAAUUCUGCUGCAUCAGUGUAAAUAUAGCUGAUGAAUUUUUUUCCGUAGUCUUGGUCCCUAACACAGCAGUUUGGCUACAAUGACCCUUACGCCAUUAAGAGCAGGUAUCAGCAAGACAUAUACUGAGCUUUUUUGCAUGUGUGGUGGAGGUCCCAGGCAGCUGCUCAGGAGUCUGAGUGUUCU
rnacentral:lncRNA from 1 species